rnacentral:rRNA from 1 species
GUGCCAGCAGCCGCGGUAAUACGUAGGUGGCUAGCGUUGUCCGGAUUUACUGGGCGUAAAGAGCGCGCAGGCGGUCGUUCAAGUCGAGUGUGAAAGCCCCCGGCUCAACUGGGGAGGGUCACUCGAUACUGAUCGACUCGAAGGCAGGAGAGGGAAGCGGAAUUCCCGGUGUAGUGGUGAAAUGCGUAGAUAUCGGGAGGAACACCAGUGGCGAAGGCGGCUUUCUGGCCUGCUCUUGACGCUGAGGCGCGAAAGCUAGGGUAGCAAACGGGAUUAGAAACCCGAGUAGUCC